CAAUUCACCUUGUUACUGCACCUCCAGUUGCUGCAGCACAGAUGGGAUGCAACAUCUCCCACUGUUUGGGGACUGCCCCUAAAGGGCAGAAAACCCAGUGCAUGAGAGCUGAACAUUAACAGCAAAUGGAAUCAAUCUCUCAGACUUCAAAGUUCUACCCCCCUGUACACUGUGAAAUUUAGUUUUGAGAGCUGCUGAGAUAUUCAGAACUAUGUAACUCUUUGCUCCAAAGGAGACAUUGGUGUGACUUUUCAGAAACGCCACAUUAAAAAUAAGCCAUCAUAAAAAUAGCACUGUAUUGACUCUGUGACCCCAAAAAUGUACUCUAGACUGUCACUACCAUUAAAGGCAACAAAUCUCUUCU